GCAAGUAAGAGCAGGAAAAGAACGUUUUUGUCAUAUGCUUCUUUAUUUUUGCCUUCAUUAUUGGAAAUGGAGUGAAAGCUUACAUGUAAGAAUACCCAGUAGUAUGCGGAUCACCUUUAACUGUUGUGGUGUGAAAGAAAUUGAAAUGAAAUGUACAUCCUCAGACUCUGCUGUACAUUUCAUUAUGGACUCUCCGACUUCAAACAAUUCUUUUUGUUAAUUUGUAAAGGAAGAUGAAAAAACCUGAUGCUCCUCAAAAUGAAACUGUUAAUUUCAUUUGAGAGACAGUGCAAAGGGAUCUCCAGUGCAAUUCAGAGGUGUCACUUUCCUUUCUUGUCAGGACUGGAAUCACACAAUAUUUAUUUUUGACAUUCAAGAUCUGAAAUCUAAGUGGAAUCCAAAUCUACGUAAGAGUAAUAGCAACAAUACCCAUAUUGUUAUGUUUCUAGUAAAUGAACAGAGCAGAAGGAAACAGAGACUCUUCAGUUUAUGAAAGCACCGGUCUAAUAAAUGCACAGUUGCAAAAAUGACUAACACUUAAAUCCUGCUCCGUUCAACUGAGUUAAGUGCAUCAAUAUUCAAGCAUAUGGCUGAUUUUGCAGAAUUGCUGUAUGAAGUCAGGCAAUGAGCACGUUGUGGUGGAAUGCCUGACUCACAUAGGCAUAACAUUAGACAACAUUAAAAUUCCUUGUGCGUCCGUACUGGAAAACUUCUGGUGAAAAUAAUGAGUACUUUAUGUGACCUAUUUUAUGAAGAUAAUAGAUUUCUUCGGUUUCCCUUAUGUUUCACCAGAAUGGAAAAAUGUACUGUACCAGGAUUAUUUUUAAAAUGUAAUGAACCCGCCAGGACCCACUACAUUUUUAAGAAGCCAAGAAUGAAGAAGUACAACUUGCCUGCAGAACGAAAGCAAGUCAAUGUCUAGCCAAGAAUCUUCUGGAUGAGAAAUGUGUCUAGAUAUCACAGUUAAAAAUCUCUACUUUCCUUUAAAAUUUCCAUGGGCUUUUUAAUGAGCAUUAUAUCAAGACUUUGGAACAUACUAUUUCCAGCUGCAGAAUGACCCCUUGAACCAUGAUGGAAUUCAAGUUCACAGCUUACUGGAGGGAAAAAAUUCAACCACUGAACUAUGAGCACAAAUACCUGAAGCCGUUUAACUCUUCAUCUUUUAUUUUCCUAUACGGAUUCAGAUUUUGUCUGACACACUACUUCGCUUGUGAGAUCUGAAGUCACCACAAUGAGAGGCCAAACGAAUAUAAUUUUUCUGUUUCUUGCUGGAUCUGCAGUUCCCAUUAGCAGCACAUCAGUUCUUGUGCACUCAGCAAGUCAAAAAUAGACACUUUUUAUUUCAUGUUCAAUCAAUAAUAUUAUGGAUUGACUUCUCUGUUGAAAUAUUUAUGGAGAAAAUCCAGCCGCCUACCUAUUAAUGAGAACCACUUUCAUUAUUUGUAUUUGCAGCUUCUGAUUAAUGUCAGACAAAUUGAAUUACUGUGUGAAAAUGGUUUUGAUUAAAGCAAAAUUAAAAAUCUAAACAGUUUACAGCAGUGGAUUUUUAUUUCAUUUCCUAAUGUGUACCUUACCUAGAUAC